rnacentral:lncRNA from 1 species
CCAUUGGAGAUGGUGGGAACAUUGAGAAAAUUGACAUUGAUCAUGCAGAUGACGCUGGGAAAUGCCCCUCACCAGGUGAUAACCAUCCUGAAAUUGGUGGGGUUUGCCAUCUGAACUUUACUUCUGGUCCUGCCAAGGGCAAAUUUUGCUGGGACCAACAGCCGGAAUGGAGUGCGUACAGAGAGAGCAGUUUCGGUCAUGGGAUCCUGGAGGUUACUCAUUUUACUUAACAUUAUUUUGUUGACUGUUUGUUUCUUAUAUCAUGCAACUUCAGUCAUGUUACCCUUACUGCAUAUGCAUUACUGCUUUGGUCCUGAUCAUGAGUUGAUGUGUACAAUGCAACUUUAGUUAUUGUAUUAUGUGGUGCACUUUGCAGAUUUCACUCACAGAUAUAAUGUGUGCUUUGAUAUAUGUAUACAGGUUGUGAAUUCAACAUAUGCCUUGUGGACAUGGCACCGUAACCAGGACGCGUAUGGAGAGAACAGCGUGGGAGAUCAAAUAUACAUAGUACGGCAGUCUGACAAAUGCCUUCUGCAGCCUACGAGUGCGUCAUCACUCAAUUGGUGAUUCGAUUUGAUGAUCAAGUUGUAUCUGUUACGUCUUAAUAUCUAUUCAGAUCCAUGAGAUUCACUUUCUUGCGAAUAUUUUCUGGACAGUCCCGCUGAAGGAUGCCCUUCUUCGAUGAGUAGCAGCAGCUCAAGUGCGCACCUGGCUGUAACAAGUGGCCAGCUCUUCUGGAAAGUACUUGUAAAUAUGUGUGUGGUUUUGAUCUAUACAGUUGAAGUAACAU